UGAUUUCAGUGGAGCACAACUAAAGGUUGUAUGUGUUGAGGUUGGCAUGUUGGCUCUGCACCGUGAUGCAAUCGAGUUGAAAUGGCCGCCGCAAAGAAACAACAACAGAAGAACACAAUCAAGCCAAAGAAGACGCACAAAUGUUUGGACUUGGGGGUGUUGGGCUAGGCUGGUGUGUGAUCGUUCUCUGUCACAUGGUUAUAGCAGCAACAAACUGUGUAGAUAUUCUUUACCCUGCUCUUAUGCAUUCUAGGCCAUUGGAACAUAGAUUUGAGUUUUUGCACCCAAUUGAAGAAGGGCUCGGAUUCUACAGGUGAUUUCAAUGGAUGAUAAUGCAGGUUGUAUGUCUGUGUUGAGGCUAGCAUGCUGUUGGCUUUGCGCUGUGAUGCAACUAAGGUUUGGAUAUGCGAGAUACUUGUUCUCGAUAAAUUGUAGUAUCUCCAUGUGCUGCUGUCGUCGGUGCUUCCAGUAGUAAAGCAGAUCCACCAUGAACAGUGUUUUGAAGUUGGGAUUGAAAAGAAGUUGCGUGGUACGGUUCAUUUUAAGAUAUAAGUUUAAAUAUGUUUUUAGUCCCUCAGAUCGAAGGUAAACUUAUUUUUAGUCUCUCAAAUUUAAAAUUAAUCUGUAAUUUCAAAAAAUUAUGUUUUUAGUCUUUAUACUCAAUUUUUUCUAGGGAAUUUGUCAAAUAUUGUCGUACAAAAUUUAUAUACUAGUAUCUCUGUUAGUGAAAAUAUAACAUUAAAUAUAUAAAUGUUCCAAUUUUUACUUUCAAAUGUGUUAUUAGUGACAUGAGGAACUAA